AUUGCCCUUUAGCUCUAUGGGUCCACCACGGCAGGCGCUUCUCAUUUUCUGGAUGCUCCCGUGCAGACGCCUUUCCUUUCUGUUCUCCUCUCAGUUUCCUUCCGCCUCCACAGUAGUGCCAAUCGAGAGUUCUGAUGGCUCGUGGUGGCCGUCGGAGGAAUGGAUUUGUGCUAGAAUGGAAGGAAGAACACAUGGCGUCGAGGAAUCAGACUACAUGCAUGCAGAUACGGAGCUCCAACGGCUGCUCGAAGAACACACCCUAAGAGCAGGGUGCCACUGCCACAGCAGGACUCACAUGGCAGUGAGGAGGUGGAGGCGGCGGAGCAGGGUGCUGCAGAGGCUACCAGCGCAGGGGCUCGCGAAUGUCGCGGCACAGGGCCCGUGGAGGCUGCCGACGCAGGGUCCCGCGGAGGCCACCGGCGUUAGGGAGCCGCAGAGGUUGGCGGAGGCUGAGGGGGUAGGAGCUCGCGGAGUUUGAGGCAAAGGGACAGAGGCAAGCAGUGGCUAGUGAUGAGGCCGUUGGCGCAUGGCUCGGUAGAGCUUGCCGCGCCGCCGCGAGGGCUCACCCGGCGGGUGGAAGGUGAGGCCGUUGGCGCAUGGCUCGGUAGAGCUUGCCGCGCCGCCGCGAGGGCUCACCCGGCGGGUGGAAGGUGAGGCCGUUGGCGCAUGGCUCGGUAGAGCUUGCCGCGCCGCCGCGAGGGCUCACCCGGCGGGUGGAAGGCGCGGGCGGCCGCGGCGGGGCUCGCCCGGCGGCUGUGGUAAACCAAAUGAAAGAAGGGCAUAUAGGAUAUUUCCUGUAAGAUGAGGGAUGGCGUGGCGGGGUGGUAAGCCGACGUGGCUGUCCAGCUUGGCUCAAGGACGGAGUUAGUCCGGAAAGUAUAAGUUGAGGGACUGAUUUGGACUUCGUGAAAGUUUGAGGACCAAGUUGACCCACGUGCAAUAGUUUGAGGAUGAGAUAGACUAUUUUGCCCAAGCUGUACAUAUAAGCAGUCCUGAUAUUGACUUCUCAACCUCACCGACUUGACAGAAAAAAUGCUUGUAGUAUAUGGAUGGUACAACGAUGAUUCAGGUAGAAUUUGUAGCAAUUGCCUGCAUAUGCUGCUGUUGUAAAUGUUCGGACAAAGCCAUUUCUGAGGUGGAAAAGGAAUGAGGAUCGUCAGGACAACACAGGUGUGGGUUCCAGUAUCCAAUUCGUCAGAAAAUGGAGUCGGUCUACGCCUACCAUUCUAGUACAAUGGCUAUUGUACAUACUGGGAGCAAUCAGCAGUGCAGUGCCCUUUCAGGGGACAAAAAAUAGAAAUACAUUCAUGAGCAAUCAGAGAAACAAAACAUGGAACGCCUCCAGCCGUCCCGAUAUUUACAGUCACUUGCCGAGUCCCGGACCAAGUGUCUGGUACUCGGGUAUAUAUGUCGGAUAGUGCAUACAACAGAAACAGCAGCAAAUACCUUGAGGCUCUCGUACCAUAACUGCAGACUUCUUCCAAAAGCUUCAAGAAUUGUUGGGCAGGCAGGCAGACUGGUUGGAAACAAUCAGAUCACUGCAAAAAACACUCUGGAAAGCACUGACUGUCCUUGGUGCUUGGUCAGUAUAACAACUUGCAAGGCUUCCUCGCAGCACAUAAAAGAAUUGGGGAAGCUCCGGCCAUCGUUUCAUCUCAUUUUCCCCUCA